AAAAUUUGAAUUUUUUUUUUAAAAUUAUCAACAUGUAAUUGAUUAUAAAUAAGUUUA
rnacentral:tRNA from 1 species